rnacentral:rRNA from 1 species
UACGUAGGGGGCGAGCGUUGUUCGGAAUUACUGGGCGUAAAGGGCGUGUAGGCGGUGCGGUAAGUCGGACGUGAAAUCCCCGGGCUCAACCCGGGGCGGUCGUUCGAAACUGUCGCGCUAGAGGGUGGGAGAGGGAAGUGGAAUUCCCGGUGUAGCGGUGAAAUGCGUAGAUAUCGGGAAGAACACCGGUGGCGAAGGCGGCUUCCUGGCCCACAACUGACGCUGAGGCGCGAAAGCUAGGGGAGCAAACAGG